GAUGAACGCUAGCGGCAGGCUUAAUACAUGCAAGUCGAGGGGCAGCAUGAUUGUAGCAAUACAAUUGAUGGCGACCGGCAAACGGGUGCGGAACACGUACACAACCUUCCAAUAAGUGGGGAAUAGCCCAGAGGAAUUUGGAUUAAUACCCCGUAACAUAACGAUGUGGCAUCACAUUGUUAUUAUAGAUUUUUCGCUUAUUGAUGGGUGUGCGACUGAUUAGAUAGUUGGCGGGGUAACGGCCCACCAAGUCUACGAUCAGUAGCCGAUGUGAGAGGAGGAUCAGGAAGACGGGUGCGGAGAAACGGGCCGGACUCCUGCGGGAGGCAGUAGUAAGGAAUAUUGGACAAUGGGCGCAAGCCUGAUCCAGCCAUGGCGCGUGUGUAAAGAAGGCCUUAUGGUUGCAAAGCACUUUAAGCGAGGAGGAGGCUACUUUAGUUAAUACCGAGAGAUAGUGGACGUUACUCGCAGAAUAAGCACCGGCUAACUCUGUGCCAGCCGCCGCAGUAAUAC
rnacentral:rRNA from 1 species